GAGAACAUGAUGUGGAAGCUGGCAAGGAGCUGUUAGCUGUAACAACGCCGUCGAGCAAUGGGAUUGCACUGCCGUUUUCUCGAUCUAAAACCUGAAAACAGAACAUGUAUUAGGACAUUCCACAAAAGAAAUACACAAUUUCAGGUACUGCAUCAGAUUCAUGGAUAGGAUGAUCAGUAUGAAGAUCAUCUUGUAAGUGUUCCGUCGCGAAACAUGCUAGCUUUUUCCUACGGCAAACUCUGAAGGUGACAACAUUAACCGUAACAAUACAGAGAGCAAACAUGACAUAGACGAUAUACAACUGAAUGGUACACACAAAAACAAAUUGUAAGGGCAUGCGAACAAUACAUACAUGGACACAAGAGCGUGCACGUGUUGGACCGUGUAGUGGUUACUACUGAACAGACGGACAUACAGGACUUGCAUUUGAUCGAUCGCUUCUUCAUAUAUUGAUCAACAUCACAUUUGUAAUGUGAAUCUACAACAGAUAAGCUGUUUAAAGCAUCACAAUUGUAAAUACAUAGUGUAUUUUCACAAAUACAAAUUUCAAUAAAACUAUAACAUGUGUCAGCUUUACUUGUUAUUCAUUCCAAUUGUACAUCAAUUCCUACUUGGUAAAUUUCCGUUUGUCUGCAUUAGAAUGUACACUUUUUGUAAAAUGUUUUCAUAACUGAUGCGACAAAAUUUCAAAACACAUUUUUUUACAAUACAUUAUCAAAUAAUUUUAGUGUAAUAUUUCUUUAAGAAAAAUAAGAUAGACAUGUUAAAUUGAAGAUGAUGAUUAAGAUCCAUUUCAUUGUGACAGUCUUUGUCAUGAUAUAAUAUCUUUGUACUCUCUUUUAAAGUUUUAUACUCUGAAAUCAAACUUGGUCUUACCGAUGCA